UUUAUGAAUAAAGAGAGAGGGAGGACAAUAACAUUUGAAGGCAGUAAAAUAAAUUAAUUCAGAACAAGUGAUGAAGAGUAAACCACUGAUGAGGAAGUGAGCAGGAAGUUGAAGCUGUGUUCAUGUCUGAGACUGUCUCAUUUGUGAAUGUGAGAGCAGAGAGUAGAGACUGACAGACAGAGAAGUACGAUGGCUGCAGUCAUGUGGAUUCAAAUGUCUUCAUUCCUGCUGCUGAUGCUUCAGAUUACAGCAGAAACAACAGGACAGACUUUGUCCUCCUUCAGAGCUGCCAGAGCUGGACAUGACAUCACUUUGUCUUGUGAAAAUGUGAUAGAUGGUCAACAUGACUGCAGCUAUACUACCUGGGAAUUCACUGAUUCAAGACAGACACCAGCAGUAGAGCUGGUUGUUCAUGGACAGAUUAAAGAAAAUGCUAAAGCUGAAUACACCAGACUGAGUGUUACAGCGAACUGUUCUCUGCUUAUAAAGAAGGUACAAGCUGAGGAUGUUGGUCGUUACACCUGCACACAGUACAAAACAAGAGGAGGACAAAAAGAAUGUUCAGACUAUAUGAUUAAUCUGUCUGUUAUUAACAUGACUGAACAUGAGAACAACAAUAAAGUCAUUGUGAACUGCUCUGUGCUGACACAUGAACACUAUAGACACACAGUGGAGUGGCUGCAUGAGGGUAAAAAGAAAAUAUCAGACGUGGAGAUCAAACCAGGUUUCUGCUCUGUGACUGUGACAUUUAAAAGAUCUCACCGUGAUCAGAAGUCACAGUUUUAUAAUUCAUUGAAGUGCAAAGUGACAGAUAAACACACUAAAGAAGAACAACUGUUUCUCUUCAAACUCAAGUCCUCAGGUGAAAACACAAAAUCAACGACUGCAAAAUUUACCUCAACAACAAGAACAACAACAGCAAUGAGAUCAACAACAACAAUGAGAUCAACAACAACAAUGAGAUCAACAACAACAAUGAGAUCAACAACAACAAUGAGAUCAACAACAACAAUGAGAACAACAACAACAACAACAACAAUGAGAUCAACAACAACAAUGAGAACAACAACAACAACAAUGAGAACAACAAAAUCUUCUCUAGAAUCAAAAAAAUCCUCACAAGGUUUGUUAUUAUGGCUCAUUAUCCUUCCCGUUGGUUUAUCAGCACUCUUAAUAAUUGUUGUGGUCAUAAGAUGGAAGAAACAUAAAGGAAAAGAAGGGCAGCUGGCCGGCAACACUGUGAGUUCAAAUAGUUCCAUUGUUUCAUAUGAGAUUGAGCUAAUAAACCUUUAGAGGUGACUUCAUGCCUCUAAAUGACUAAAUAAAAUACAGGAUUUACCAUCAGAAACAGAACAGCUGACAAAGCUGCAAGUGAGCUGAAUCAGCUCCUCACUGACAAUGUUUAACUAUUUAAGUAACAUUUAGAUCUUUACACAGUUACUCUUCUGUUUGUGAGCAGGGACUGAGCUUAAACGCUGCAGAGACUCAGUCUGGACCAGGAACCAAUCAAACCAGGGCUGGAGCUGAUGAUGGUGUUUCCUACGUCUCCAUCAGCUUGCCCAAGAGGACCAGGAGUAAAACCCGGGUGAGAUUUUUAAUAUUUGUGGGGAUGAUGUUAGCAGUAAGACCAUGAUUUUCAAAGAGCCUUAUGUCUUGUCUUGCUCUGUAAUGUUUUUUUUUUUUUUGUUCUGUAAUGUUUUCCUAUAGUCCCGUGGUCAUGAUGAAGGUGACACUGUGACCUACAGCACAGUGAAAGCUGUUUCCUCUUCUGCUGGAGAUGAUCCCAACCACCUCUAUUCCACCAUCAAUGAUGUAAAGAAGUAGGAUGAUGCUCAUGAAAAGAGAUAUGGUAGAUGCUGUUUCACUUUUUAGAUGAGAGAGUGAAUGUGAAAAGUCAUGGGUUAUUUUUUUUUGUCUUACGUAUUGGUUGUUUUGAACUAAUAACAUAAUAUUGUUUUGGUAAAUGGACUUAUAUAACACUUUUAUAUAGCUACUCUUUCAGAGCACUCAAAGUGCUUUAUACAACAAAUUCAUUCACCCAAGCAGUUAAGUGCUCCCUAUCUAACAUUAAUACUCAUUCACACUCCGAUGGAAGCAUCGGAGAGCAACAUGGGGUUAGUAUCUUGCCCAAGAAUAUUUGGCAUGCAGACUGGAGCAGACUGGGAUCAAACCACCACCCUUCUGGUUAGUAGCUGACCUGCUCUAACACCUGAGCUACAGACACCAAACUGAAAAUCAUUUAUGUUUCAAAAACAGACAUGUUACCACACAUAUAUAUUUCUGUUUUGACCUAAACUGUUUCUGCCAGAGGGGUAUGUGUUGACGUUUUAUUCCAAGAAACCUUUUCUGUUUGCUGCUGCUCAUAAAAGUUUAGCUGAUAGCGUCCUAUCACAGUACAUGACAUCAUUACUGUCUAAGGCGCAGCUUCAAAUGCAUCCUGAACAGUGCGGACAAAAAUUAGAAAUAAGAAAAAGUACUAAUAAAUUUUUUUUUGCCACUGUAAAUAAAUGCUUUAAAUAAAGGAUCCAGAUACUUUCUUC
ensembl:lncRNA